rnacentral:rRNA from 1 species
UACGGAGGGCGCAAGCGUUGUUCGGAAUCACUGGGCGUAAAGCGCGUGCAGGCGGCUUGGUAAGUCGGAUGUGAAAUCCCGGAGCUCAACUCCGGAACUGCACCCGAUACUGCCUCGCUAGAGUCCCGGAGAGGAUGGCGGAAUUUCCGGUGUAGAGGUGAAAUUCGUAGAUAUCGGAAGGAACACCAGCGGCGAAGGCGGCCAUCUGGACGGUGACUGACGCUCAGACGCGAAAGCGAGGGGAGCAAACAGG